UAGUCACGGAUCCAAUAGAAAUUUGACACGUCAGCUCAAGCAAAUUUCGCACAAAAUCAUUCGUGGCCCAGCUUUGUAGUUGCUUAGCAUCUUUAAUUGUACUCAGUUUAUGUUUAAUCAUUUAAAGCUAAGUUAAUUAACAUCCAAAAGUAACCAUGGUUUGUAUUUAGUUAUCUAUUAAAUUUUUUUUUUACAGAAGAUAUUUGUUCAUCUUUCAAUCUAAUCGGAACAAAAUCAUCUCUUCAUCUCUUCAUCUUCCAACCACCGACAAUCUCGAAAGCACCACAACCGCUCUCCUCCGUACGACUGCGCCGCCAACUGUUCUCCUCCCUACUAACGUACCGUCUAUCUCCCUCCACCCUCGUUUUCACACCGUGACUCAAAUCACUCGCUUUCCCUCUUCUCUUUUCUUCCAGUUUAGAACCCUAAACUUUUCCCUCUUCUCUCGCUUUCACUCUUUUUCUAUUCUAUUUAAAUUAGAACCCUAAAUCUCAUUUGUCCUCCAACAACAACAACGUCUCUACACCUCUGAGCAGUUUGAAUAUCAAGGAGGCGGAGCGAGGAAGAAGAUGAAGAAGGAGGCGGAGCGAGGAAGAAGAAGAUGAAGAAGGAGGCGGAGCGAGGAAGAAGAUGAAGAAGGAGGCGGAGCGAGGAAGAAGAAGAUGAAGAAGGAGGCGGAGCGAUGAAGAUGAAUGACAAUAAUAGUGGGUAUCAAGGAGAGUGAUCGGCGCAUUCUGAUGGUGUGGCAAUUUUUUCAAUGUACCAGGAUUUUGGAUUUUCCAAUGAAUUUGAAUAUUUCCUUGAUCAUUUUCAGGUGCUAGAAUUGAAGAGAGGUGAAAAGGGUCAACAAAGAAACCAAUAUAUCGGUCAAAAUAAACUUGGAUGGAAAUGGGAUUUCUGAUUCUAGUUCUAGAAUUCCCUUCCUUUUAUCAUAUGCUUGAUGUACUGGUGUAGCAGCUGAAGUGCAAAUGAUAUAUAGCACUUUAUAUGUAAAAGAAUAUGAAAGAACUAGGCAUUGGUGCUGGUUAUCUGUUCCAUCGAGUUAUUUUCUAGAUCAGUUAACUGACUUGGCAUUGAUUCUGUCAAGCUGAUAUAUAGCUAUGCAAUCGGGGUUUAAUGUAGUUGCGAUUUGUGACAAAGCUCACUAGUGCUUAGUUUGUAUUCACUAGGCUUACAUUGUAAAUGGGUUUAUACCCAAACUUUUAUUGUAACCUAUUAUCUUCUACAAAUUGUAACUAUUAUAUAUUAAAUGAAAAAAUUUGCUUGAA